GCGCGGGUGGGGGCGCGGGGUUGAAUGCGCCAUGUUGUGCAGCGGUAAAAUUAUCCAGAAUGGAGCCAUUUAAACCUCCGGAUCCCCCUGUGUCUUGAAGGGAAUAUAACGGAAAACUGGAAACGCUGCGAACAACGAUUCAAGUUGUACUUGAAGGCCACGGGGGCCGACGGCAAGACGGAACAUGUCAAAGUGGCGAUUCUCCUCUCAUCGUGUUGGGGAGGACGGAUUGGAAGUGUUUUACCCCUUUGAUUCUGGUGACGGAUCGACCACAAUACGUCAGUAUCGAACUCUCUGUUUCGUGCAACAUUACCGGGAUAUCUCAAAAAGAUAAUAUUAAUAAACCAAGAUGGCAGACACCAGUCCUUUUUCACUGGAAGAGAGGCUGGCAGCAAUGGUGUGGUACCACGAGAGGAGAAACACGGAUGCACUCGGUUUAAGGAGAGACCAAAUCAGCUACACAGGUUUGACGAAGCGUCAGGACGACAUGGAAGGCAGCCACCAUCGAGAAAAACGAUUCGACAAGGUGAUCGGCAAGAUGGGAUGGACUGGAGGUUCCAAGGCGGCUCAGGUGACGUACCUGAGGUGCUGCGUCCAAUUAGGUGGCGCUUUAUAA
rnacentral:lncRNA from 1 species